rnacentral:lncRNA from 1 species
CUGGUGUCCCGCCGCCCGUCCGUGCGCCGCAGGAGCCUCCGCCGGGAGCCGCGCCGGUGCCGCUUCGGCCCGUACGGCCCGGAGGAGCUGGGCAGCUGCACCCUGCGCUUUGCUGUCUACACCAGGUCACGGAGCCUCCAGGAUUCCUUCGUGGGCGAGGUCCUGUUCCCCUGCGCCGAGGCCUCCUGGGACCCCCGCGCCCCCUCCAGCUACUCCUGGGAGCUGGCAAGCACCAAAACCAAGCUCAGCAAGGCCACUACGUCAUCGUCCAUCUCCACCACGACGGCCACAUCAUCGACACCAAGGAGACCAAGCCCGCCAGUGGCUACAACCCCGUGUGGAACGCGCCCUUCCUCUUCAGCAUCCCCGCCGGGGACAUCCAGCAGCAGGAGCUGGCCUUGGAGUUCAUUGUCAUGCAGGUGAGGUGACCGAGGCCCAGGAGGUGACCUGGCUCAGUGGGCUCAGCCCCGCAGGAGCUGGUUCUCACCACCCACGGGAGGUUUCUGGGGUGGGACAGCUCCUCUCGGGAGAAGGGAAGGCCACCAGCCAUGUCUCCCUGCCCUGUGCUGCCCCAGGCUCGGCUCCACACCCGCGGCUCCAUGCUGGGCCGUGUCCAGGUGGGGCCAGGUGCCCUUGGGACCGGGAUGCCGCACUGGAGGGACAUGUGCAGCCAGGCACCGCUGGAGUCGGAGCGUUGGCAUUGCAUCCAGCCCCCUGCACCCGGCCCUUGAUCCUGCGGGAAGGACUCGGGACUGAGCCAGGGGGGCUCCGAGCUGUGGAGAGGGGAUGUGGCACCCACACACCAGCGGGGGAGAAGCCCUGGCUCCAUCUCUGGGGCUGGAGAUCACUGGUGGUCGGCCCAUCCUGAACAUCUACAGAGGGGACUGAGCCCAUCUGAAGUGGGAGAGGAGAGGAGGAGAGGAGCUUUGUCUGCUCUGUCCCCUGUCUGCUCCAUCCCCUGUCUGCUCCAUCCCCUCUCUGCUCCAUCCCCUGUCUGCUCCGUCCUGUCUGCUCCAUCCCCUGUCUGCUCCAUCCCCUGUCUGCUCCAUCCCCUGUCUGCUCCGUCCCCUGUCUGCUCCAUCCUCUCUGCUCCAUCCCCUGUCUCCAUCUGGAAUCUCAGCUGUGCAGGAGCCGGGUGGGACAAUCACCCAACCGAGAUCCCUGUGGCCACCACAGUGGUGGCAUCUCCUGCCCUUUCCACCCCGCCUGAGUGGAGCCGCGUGAACACGCCAAUGUCACCUGCUGAAAAAGGUGUCCAUCGGCAUUUCUGAUUGAGCGCUGGCCUUAAUGAGGGCUCGAUAAAUAAAUAAAGGGUUGGGAAUGAUCA